GACGAACGCUGGCGGCGUGCUUAACACAUGCAAGUCGAACGAAGUGGCGAACGGGUGAGUAACGCGUAAUCAACCUGCCCUUCAGCGGGGGACAACAGUUGGAAACGACUGCUAAUACCGCAUACUGAAGGAGGGGAUUGAGUCCGAUUAGCUAGUUGGAGGGGUAACGGCCCCCCAAGGCGAUGCUCAGUAGCCUGCCCGAGGGGAUGAACGGCCACAAUGGGACUUGUGCCCGGCCCAGGCUCCUACUGGGGGCAGCAGUGGGGAAUCUUCCGCAAUGGACGAAAGUCUGACGGAGCAACGCCGGGUGAGUGAUGACGGCCUUCGGGUUGGAAAGCUCUGUUAAUCGGGACGCGGUACCGGAAUAGAAAGCCACGGCUAACUACGUGCCAGCAGCCGCGGUAAUAC
rnacentral:rRNA from 1 species